rnacentral:rRNA from 1 species
AGAGUUUGAUCCUGGCUCAGGACGAACGCUGGCGGCGUGGAUUAGGCAUGCAAGUUGAGCGACAGACAAGGGCUUGCCCUUGUUAUGGAGCAGCGAACGGGUGAGUAACACGUGAACAAACUGUCCCUACAUUCCGGAUAAUUGGCCGAAAGGCCUUGUAAUACGGGGGAGGAUUCCGAUGAGGCAUCUCAUUGGACGGGAACGAGCAAUCGGUGCAGGGAGGUGUUCGCGGCCUAUCAGUUAGUUGGUGGGGUAACGGCCUACCAAGACGACGACGGGUAGCUGGUCUGAGAGGAUGGUCAGCCACAUUGGAACUGAGAUACUGUCCAGACUCCUACGGGAGGCUGCAGUCGAGAAUCUUGGGCAAUGCACGAAAGUGUGACCCAGCGACGCCGCGUGAAGGAUGAAGGCCCUCUGGGUCGUAAACUUCUUUUAUAGGGAAAGAAAAGCUCGCAAGAGCCUUGACGGUACCCCAUGAAUAAGCCACGGCUAACUACGUGCCAGCAGCCGCGGUAAUACGUAGGUGGCAAGCGUUGUCCGGAUUUACUGGGCGUAAAGCGAACGCAGGCGGAUGGUUAAGUCCAAAGUGAAAGGUAGGAGCUCAACUCCUACACUGCUUGGGAUACUGGCCGUCUUGAGUAGCGGAGAGGGAGAUGGAACGACACGUGUAGCGGUGAAAUGCGUUGAUAUGUGUCGGAACACCAAUGGCGAAAGCAAUCUCCUGGACGCAAACUGACGCUCAUGUUCGAAAGCCAAGGUAGCAAACAGGAUUAGAUACCCUGGUAGUCUUGGCCAUAAACGAUGUUCACUAGGUGUUGGGGCUUUGCCUCGGUGCCGCAACUAACGCAUUAAGUGAACCGCCUGGGAACUACGAUCGCAAGAUUAAAACUCAAAGGAAUUGGCGGGGGCCCGCACAAGCGGUGGAGCAUAUGGCUUAAUUCGAUGCAACGCGAAGAACCUUACCAGGGCUUGACAUGUAUCUGCAAGCUACCGAAAAGUAGUCGCCUUCGAGGGUGAUACACAGGUGGUGCAUGGCUGUCGUCAGCUCGUGUUGUGAAAUGUUGGGUUAAGUCCCGCAACGAGCGCAACCCUCAUGUUCUGUUGCCAGCGAGUAAUGUCGGGAACUCGGAACAAACUGCCUCUGUAAAGAGGAGGAAGGUGGGGAUGACGUCAAGUCAUCAUGCCCCUUACGCCCUGGGCUGCACAUAUGCUACAAUGGCCGGUACAAAGGGCUGCUAACCUGCGAAGGCAUGCAAAUCCCAAAAAGCCGGUCUCAGUUCGGAUUGGAGUCUGCAACUCGACUCCAUGAAGUUGGAAUCGCUAGUAACCGCCGGUCAGCAAUACGGCGGUGAAUACGUUCCCGGGCCUUGCACACACCGCCCGUCACAUGACGGAAGUCGGUUCUACCCGAAGCCACCGCGCCAACCGCUAGGAGGCAAGUGUCGAAGGUAGAGUCGGUAACUGGCGUGAAGUCGUAACAAGGUAACCGUAA